AGUGAACGCUGGCGGUAGGCCUAACACAUGCAAGUCGAACGGCAGCACAGUAAGAGCUUGCUCUUACGGGUGGCGAGUGGCGGACGGGUGAGGAAUACAUCGGACUCUACUUUUUCGUGGGGGAUAACGUAGGGAAACUUACGCUAAUACCGCAUACGACCUACGGGUGAAAGCAGGGGAUCUUCGGACCUUGCGCGAUUGAAUGAGCCGAUGUCGGAUUAGCUAGUUGGCGGGGUAAAGGCCCACCAAGGCGACGAUCCGUAGCUGGUCUGAGAGGAUGAUCAGCCACACUGGAACUGAGACACGGUCCAGACUCCUACGGGAGGCAGCAGUGGGGAAUAUUGGACAAUGGGCGCAAGCCUGAUCCAGCCAUACCGCGUGGGUGAAGAAGGCCUUCGGGUUGUAAAGCCCUUUUGUUGGGAAAGAAAAGCAGCAGGUUAAUACCCCGCUGUUCUGACGGUACCCAAAGAAGAAGCACCGGCUAACUUCGUG
rnacentral:rRNA from 1 species